AUUUUUAGAACUACACAUUCAUUUGCAUGUAAAACUUUAUAGCUGGAUGUAUUUAAAAUCAAAAUUGCCAUUUGAAAUACAUAUGCAAAGUAUAAAUCUUAUUAAUAUAUAAUUUUUUCGAAAGAAAAUCAGUGCCAUGGUUUCAAUCUUGCACCUCCAUAAUGGCUUCCUCAAGCUCUUGCCAAGCCAUGAGUCUUGCUGGUAGCUCUCUGGAUUUCCGAGCUUGGUUCAUGUCCAACAUGUACCUAGCAAAAAUAAAAGUUGCUAUUUGUCGCCCACCACACGGCCCGCUUGGUGAUGGCAGCAAAG
rnacentral:lncRNA from 1 species